CCUACGGGAGGCAGCAGUGGGGAAUAUUGGACAAUGGGGGGAACCCUGAUCCAGCGACGCCGCGUGAGUGAAGAAGUAUUUCGGUAUGUUAAGCUCUAUCAGCAGGGAAGAAAGGAAUGACGGUACCUGACUAAGAAGCCCCGGCUAACUACGUGCCAGCAGCCGCGGUAAUACGUAGGCGGCAAGCGUUAUCCGGAUUUACUGGGUGUAAAGGGAGCGUAGACGGUUACGCAAGUCUGGAGUGAAAGGCGGGGGCCCAACCCCCGGACUGCUUUUGAUACUGGAUAACUGGAGUGCAGGGGAGGUAAGUGGAAUUCGUAGUGUAGCGGUGAAAUGCGUAGAUAUUAGGAGGAACACCAGUGGCGAAGGCGGCUUACUGGACUGUAACUGACGUUGAGGCUCGAAAGCGUGGGGAGCAAACAGGAUUAGAUACCCGGGUAGUC
rnacentral:rRNA from 1 species